UGCUCAACUUGGUGUGACGACCUCACGUUUUCUACUCCCCGUCCUGUUCGGAUUAAAAAUCCGGUUAUUUUUACCGCGGGAGAAAGUGUCCAUGGAACGUGUGUGACAUUCGAAGAUAUCUCGUCCAUGUUUCGAAUAGUUCCCAGUCAUAUUUUUUUUUUUCCCACUUGCAACCCCAUCUUUUUGUAUAUUAUUUCAGAAUUUCGUGUUGGCUGUUUCAUCCUAAAAACACAGUGAGUUGGACAGUUCCACUCUGUGCCUGCAUCUGGCCUCCUACCGCUGCUUCUCCUUCACAGUAAACAGUUAUAAAGUAUUUGUGGAGUCAUUUCCAAUAAAUUCAUGCUUGUGGGAAAAUAUUAAUACGUCCUUCCUUGCACCUUCGGUAUGAGGCUAUUUUAUUUUCUCCCCAACACAAGAUGAAGAAAAUCCCAAAGAAUGUUGUGCUUAAGGAAAAGAAAACUUUGCCAAUUUAUUCUCCUAGUAGGAGGAGUUUCCUGGAUCUCUUUCAGGAAAUUAUUUCAGGAGAGGAUAUUUUAUUUCCGGUUUCUUGAGAGGAUAACGCCAAUGUAUGCGUUCUUUACAGCGU